rnacentral:lncRNA from 1 species
CUUGUAUAAUUUGAGUUAUAACCUCUUAAUUCACUAUAGUUACAAAGAACACUUGAGGUGCAGCUUAAAAUACAAUGCGAGUGAAUCAGUACUAUUUUGAUAUAUCUGCCCCUUGCACAUAACAAAUUCCUUGGAGGAACAGGUUAGCGUGUGACACAUUUUUUAGGUCGGUGAUAGAAAACAGCUUCUUGUGUUUUUCUGAAUAAACAUUAUUUGGAGGGUUAGAAGAUACGGUGUAUCUGGUUUACUGAAUGUAACCAAUGUAUAAUGCCGAGAUAGAUCUAGUUAUUAUUAGAAAUUUUAUUUUACAUAUAUAGGGAGUUCGAGCCAAAAUUUGUGAGUCCAGUUGACAUGCAAAACUCAUAGAACCCACUAAAUGAUUCACCUGCACAACGCCAUAACACAAUAUAUAGCAUCAACAAUAUAGUCAUUAAAAAAGUUUUGUCAAGGGAGAGACUAUACUCUAAAAUUACUAUUCUUAUAUUAGUGAUGAAUCAUAUGUAGGUCGAUUCACAAAAUCAUAAUUAUAAAUUAUUAUACCUCGUUUAAUAUAUAUAUAUAGUACUGAUUCCCCAUUAAUCUAAAGGUAUUACCUUUAUUAUAAUUAUCUUCGAAAAACUAUAAGUUUUUCUUGUAUUUGCAAGAUAGAAAUAAUGAAUUUCAGCUGAUCCUCUGGUUGAGAGUAUUAUCUCGUAAUGCAUUCUUGUAUUUGUAGGAUAGAAAUGCUGAAUUUCAGCUAAUCCUGUGGUUGAGAGUAUUAUCUCGUAAUGCAUCCUGUAUUUAUAAGCAGGAGUAGCGUAUGACAUUGUAUCAAAGUACCUAGCCAUUAAUUGCCAUGGGUUAUCCUUCCAUUUAAGGUUGGAUUAUUCCAAAAGAAUUAUUAAGUCUUUUGUGUCCUUUUGGUUAUAAACCUCAAGGUUUUCAUUGUUGUCCUCUGAUAUAGCUGAGGAAUAGGUUGGCAUAUUGGAUGAUGUACCUUCAUCUUUUCUGGAUUGUAUAAAAUCCAUAAAAUCCUUAUAUAAAGGGUGGUUAGUAUUACCUCUUGCUAAAUUAGCAUCAGUUUUUGAUUUCCCAUUUGGGCGAGAAUAUUAUUCCCUCUACCAUCGGUAGAUGCCCUUCCUCUUCCUCGAUGUCGAGGCGGUCUGUACGUAGGCCUCAUAAUCUGUAAAAGUCAAAGAGAGAACUAUUAGUUCAGAGAUAUUCUCU